GGUUUGUAUGGUUAUAGAGAGAGGUUUUUUGUUUCAUGGUUUAUAUGGUUAUAGAGAGAGGUUUGUAUGGUUAUAGAGGUUUUUUGUUUCAUGGUUAUAGGUUUUCUGUUUCAUGGUUUAUAUGGUUAUAGAGAGAGGUUUUCUGUUUCAUGGUUUGUAUGGUUAUAGAGAGAGGUUUUCUGUUUCAUGGUUUAUAUGGUUAUAGAGAGAGAUUUUUCUGUUUCAUGGUUUGUAUGGUUAUAGAGAGAGGUUUGUAUGGUUAUAGAGAGAGGUUUUCUGUUUCAUGGUUUGUAUGGUUAUAGAGAGAGGUUUGUAUGGUUAUAGAGGUUUUUUGUUUCAUGGUUUGUAUGGUUAUAGAGAGAGGUUUUCUGUUUCAUGGUUUGUAUGGUUAUAGAGAGAGGUUUUCUGUUUCAUGGUUUGUAUGGUUAUAGAGAGAGGUUUUCUGUUUCAUGGUUUGUAUGGUUAUAGAGAGGUUUUUUGUUUCAUGGUUUAUAUGGUUAUAGAGAGGUUUUCUGUUUCAUGGUUUGUAUGGUUAUAGGGUGAGGUUUGUAUGGUUAUAGAGAGAGGUGUUUAUGGUUAUAGAGAGAGGUUUUCUGUUUCAUGGUUUGUAUGGUUAUAGAGAGAGGUUUUCUGUUUCAUGGUUUGUAUGGUUAUAGAGAGAGGUUUGUAUGGUUAUAGAGAGAGGUUUUCUGUUUCAUGGUUUAUAUGGUUAUAGAGAGAGAUUUUUCUGUUUCAUGGUUUAUAUGGUUAUAGAGAGAGGUUUGUAUGGUUAUAGAGAGAGGUUUUCUGUUUCAUGGUUUGUAUGGUUAUAGAGAGAGGUUUGUAUGGUUAUAGAGAGAGGUUUUCUGUUUCAUGGUUUAUAUGGUUAUAGAGAGAGAUUUUUCUGUUUCAUGGU